rnacentral:tRNA from 1 species
UAAAAGUUAGUUUAUUGAGAAUUUUUGACUGUUGAUCAAAGGGAGUACUUUUAA